rnacentral:rRNA from 1 species
GACGAACGCUGGCGGCGUGCUUAACACAUGCAAGUCGAACGGAAAGGCCCUGCUUUUGUGGGGUGCUCGAGUGGCGAACGGGUGAGUAACACGUGAGUAACCUGCCCUUGACUUUGGGAUAACUUCAGGAAACUGGGGCUAAUACCGGAUAGGAGCUCCUGCUGCAUGGUGGGGGUGGGAAAGUUUCGGCGGUUGGGGAUGGACUCGCGGCUUAUCAGCUUGUUGGUGGGGUAGUGGCUUACCAAGGCUUUGACGGGUAGCCGGCCUGAGAGGGUGACCGGCCACAUUGGGACUGAGAUACGGCGCAGACUCCUACGGGAGGCAGCAGUGGGGAAUAUUGCACAAUGGGCGGAAGCCUGAUGCAGCAACGCCGCGUGCGGGAUGACGGCCUUCGGGUUGUAAACCGCUUUCGCCUGUGACGAAGCGUGAGUGACGGUAAUGGGUAAAGAAGCACCGGCUAACUACGUG